rnacentral:rRNA from 1 species
UACGUAGGGGGCAAGCGUUGUCCGGAAUCAUUGGGCGUAAAGAGCGUGUAGGCGGCCCGAUAAGUCCGCUGUGAAAGUCCAGGGCUCAACCCUGGAAUGCCAGUGGAAACUGUCGGGCUGGAGUCCGGAAGAGGACGUGUGGAAUUCCUGGUGUAGCGGUGAAAUGCGCAGAUAUCAGGAGGAACACCAAUGGCGAAGGCAGCACUCUGGGACGUGACUGACGCUGAGACGCGAAAGCGUGGGGAGCAAACAGG